AUCGGCUCCGGUGGUGAUUUGGCCGGUCGCUUGCAGCCACUUGAAACAAAUCGCUAAAGACCGUUGCAACCGGCCG
rnacentral:ncRNA from 2 species